rnacentral:rRNA from 1 species
AUUGAACGCUGGCGGCAGGCCUAACACAUGCAAGUCGAACGGUAGCACAGAGAGCUUGCUCUCGGGUGACGAGUGGCGGACGGGUGAGUAAUGUCUGGGAAACUGCCCGAUGGAGGGGGAUAACUACUGGAAACGGUAGCUAAUACCGCAUAACGUCGCAAGACCAAAGUGGGGGACCUUCGGGCCUCACACCAUCGGAUGUGCCCAGAUGGGAUUAGCUAGUAGGUGGGGUAAUGGCUCACCUAGGCGACGGUCCCUAGCUGGUCUGAGAGGAUGCACAGCCACACUGGAACUGAGACACGGUCCAGACUCCUACGGGAGGCAGCAGUGGGGAAUAUUGCACAAUGGGCGCAAGCCUGAUGCAGCCAUGCCGCGUGUAUGAAGAAGGCCUUCGGGUUGUAAAGUACUUUCAGCGGGGAGGAAGGCGGUGAAGUUAAUAACUUCACCGAUUGACGUUACCCGCAGAAGAAGCACCGGCUAACUCCGUGCCAGCCGCCGCCGUAA